rnacentral:misc_RNA from 1 species
AAAAAUUAAUCUUUCCAUUGAAAUUUCAACAAUCCAUACGGAAAACCUUACAAUACAGUACAAACAACCGUCACCUUAGUGAAUGAAGUAACACACAGGUUAAUAAAAUAAAACAGAAACCAUCAUUAUUCUUCCAAUAAAGCCUUCGAAUUACUUGGAUGCAUGUCUGUUCAUAGCCUCUACUUACCCUCUUCAUCACCAAUGCCUGAUGUUGUUCUGAGCUUAUUCUUGGUACGAUCAAUGUAAUCCGAAA